UUUUUUUUAACAAAUGCAAAUGUAAUAUUGUGGUUCAGGGGUUCAGGAUGCCCUCAGCUCCCCUGAGAGGACGUUCCUCCAGGUUCUUGGUCUCCUGCCCUCUCAAGAAUGAGAGAGGGGACCACAGGGCAGUGCGCAGUAAAUGUCGGACUCAAAAGUGUUUGUAGAAAGUGA